AUGGCGCCGUCGUACGACAAGACCAUCGCCACGGCAGCCUCGCUCGCGGCGUCCCUGAUGCUCGUCCGCAGCCUCGCAAACGAGCUGCUGCCGUCCGAGGUGCGCGACGCGCUGUCCUCAGCCCUCGCCAGCCUCCGCUCGCGCAUGACGUGGCAGCACACCAUCGUCAUCGAGGAGACCGAGGGCUGGUCCAGCAACCGCGUCUACAACGCCGUCAAGGCCUACCUGGCCACGCGCAUCAACGCCAACAUCAACAUGCAGCGCCUGCGCGUCAGCAGCGGCGACGACGCUGAGAAGAUGGUCGUCAGCAUGGAGGCCGGGGAGGAGAUGGCAGAUUUGUACGAAGGAGCGGAGUUCAAGUGGUGCCUGGUCACCCGCGAGGUUAGUGGUGACCCGAACAACGGCGGCGGCGGGGCCCGGGAGAUCAGGUCCUACGAGGUGAGCUUCCACAGGCGGCACAAGGAGAAGGCGCUUAAGGAGUACCUCCCGUUCAUCGUCGCCACGGCCAAGGCCAUCAAGGACCAGGAGAGGAGCCUUAGCAUCUACAUGAACGAGCGCUACGACGAGUGGUCCCCGAUUGGCCUCCAGCACCCCUCCACCUUCGACACCCUUGCCAUGGAUCACAAGCAGAAACAGUCGAUUGUCGACGACCUUAACAGGUUCAUCAAGAGGAAGGACUACUACAGGAGGAUCGGCAAGGCAUGGAAGCGCGGGUACCUGCUGUACGGCCCUCCAGGUACCGGCAAGUCCAGCCUCAUCGCCGCCAUUGCCAACCACCUCAGGUUCGACAUCUACGACCUCGAGCUCACCGGGGUCGACUCCAACUCCGACCUUAGGAGGCUUCUUGUCGGAAUGACCAACCGGUCCAUUCUCGUGGUUGAGGACAUCGACUGCACCAUCGAACUGAAGCAGCGGGAGGAAGAAGACGAGGAGCAAUCCAAGUCCAGUUCUACAGAAAAGAAGAAGGCAGAAGACAAGGUCACACUGUCUGGGCUGCUCAAUUUUGUCGAUGGCUUGUGGUCGACAAGUGGGGAGGAAAGGAUCAUCAUCUUCACGACCAACUACAAGGAGCGUCUUGACCCGGCACUUCUGCGGCCUGGCAGGAUGGACAUGCACAUCCACAUGGGGUACUGCACCACGGAGGCUUUCCGAAUUCUUGCCAACAACUACCAUUCCAUCGACUACCAUGCCACCUAUACAGAGAUCGAGAAGCUGAUCGAGGAGGUGACGGUGACGCCUGCAGAGGUUGCCGAGGUCCUGAUGAGGAACGACGACACUGAUGUUGCGCUCCAUGAUCUUGUCAAGCUCCUAAAGUUAAAGAAGAAAGAUGCCUCUGAGAUCAAGACUGAAAGUAAGAAGACGGAGAAGAAAGAUGCCACUGAUGACAUCAAGAUUGAGGGUACGCAGGUGGAUGGGAAGAAAGAUGGUGGUGAGAUCAAGACUGGAAGUGUGCAGGUGGAGGAGAAGAAAGAUGACAAAGAGGUGGUGGUAAAGAAUGUUCUUACAGAAAACGGAAGUAGUUAA
rnacentral:rRNA from 1 species